CCUUCGAUAGCUCAGUUGGUAGAGCGGAGGACUGUAGGCUCAUAAAGACAGGCAUCCUUAGGUCGCUGGUUCAACUCCGGCUCGAAGGA
rfam:Larimichthys crocea isolate SSNF unplaced genomic scaffold scaffold1696, whole genome shotgun sequence.